rnacentral:rRNA from 1 species
UACGUAGGGGGCGAGCGUUGUCCGGAUUUAUUGGGCGUAAAGAGCGUGUAGGCGGCCAGGUAGGUCUGCUGUGAAAACUCGAGGCUCAACCUCGAGACGUCGGCGGAAACCAUCUGGCUAGAGUCCGGAAGAGGAGAGUGGAAUUCCUGGUGUAGCGGUGAAAUGCGCAGAUAUCAGGAGGAACACCGGUGGCGAAGGCGGAUCUCUGGGCCUUACCUGACGCUCAGGCGCGAAAGCUAGGGGAGCGAACAGG